UGCCAGCGGGUUUGCCGUUGCCACCAUCCCCCCCUACACCUGACUCCACCGCUCCGGCAGCCUAUGUCCCGAUGGGACUGCGUCGCACCGAUCCUCUUGACCGUCACCGACGCGGUUGCGGCGAGGAAGGCAGCAGCCAACUGAACACAGACGCCGCCACCGAUGGCGCGGAGGAUGCUGAGGACCAGGCCAGCAUCCGCAGUGAGCAGUGCGGGCGGGCAAAGCAAACUGGCCGUAGCACCCCGGGCGCGGCCAACCUCUCUCCACACGCCUUGAGCUCGCAACAACCGCUUCAGAAUCAGGUCCAACAGCAGCAGCGCUCCGGCAAACCUCACGACUCUGCCCAGAUGGAGUCGUCCUUCAGCAGCAGUCAGAUUGGUAGCGUGGUGCUCAACAGUUGCAGUGCAACACUACCGGCCACCUGUAGCGGCGCUACAGGUGGUAACGGUGGUGGCCGUCGUUGUGGCAGCACGCCCGCAGCCGCUGGUAGAGGUGGCGAUGGCGCCUCCCCACCGUCCUCGCGCCAACUUCAGCCGCCUGCAAAUCACAGCCAUGUGAAUCUGUUUGUGCGGCAUCUGCCGCUUGAGCUGAACGAAGAAAAGCUGCGAGCGAUGUUCACCCCGUUCGGCGAAAUCGUCAACUCGGCCAUCAUGCGCAACAUUCACACCGGCGUCAGCCUCGGCACCGCAUUUGUGCGGUUUGCGAAACACGAGGAGGCGAUGCGCGCCAUGGAGGCCUUUGCGGGAGGCCGGCCGGUGACGGGUUCGAAACGGGUGACGGUGCAGUGGGCUCGCCGCGAGCACGACAAGGCUCCUUCCGGGGAUGAGCGGCGCAAAAUGCGAAAACUGUUUAUUCGUAAUGUCCCAAAGGACGUAACGCAGGAGAUGCUCAUGGCCCUCUUCAGUCAGCACGGCUCGGUGAAGUCGGUCAGUACCCAUCGCGACACGGCAGCCGCCAACGCCGUUUCGCAACCAGGCGGCGGCGGUGCCACUGCUGCGGCGGAGGCGGACCCCUCAUCCCACAGCGGACCUGACAGCGCCGCCGCCAGUGGCAGCACCGAUGACCGCCGCAUCGCGUUUGUCACCUUCGAGCAGGAGGGCGUUGCGGAGCAGGCGACCGCCGCGGUGCACAACACAAUGCCGUUCGCUUCGUGCCAGGGCAUUCCACUCAUGGUGAAGUUGGCCGAGGACACACCAGUGCGACACAACGCUCUUGGCGGCAACAUCGCGAGAGCCAAUAACGUUGGCAUCCCGAACGGCAUUGGUACGAAUGGGAAUGUGGCGCAUGUGCCUCACAACAGCAGCGUGAGCAGCGGCGGUAGCGUGGGCGCACACCACCCUGCCACCAUGGCCGGCGUCCCCAACAAUACUCUCAGCUGGUCCGACGUGCCCGUAACGGACUAUAUUGUCACACCGAUGACGUCGCCGCCUGCUGCACAGCUGCAUAGCACCGCUGGACUAGCAUUGCCGUCGGGCAGUGGACGCGGAAUGUCAAUGAGGUGGAGUGGGGCGUCGGGUAUCGGUGCCGGUCGAAGCUACCCUCGUGUGCCACAGGACGGCAGGGCAGCCCACGUUCUCUCGCCGCUGCGCUCCUUUGCCGGGACAACGGGCUCAGCCGGGUCACCAAAUGAAACCCCACCGUACGCCAGUCUCACUCCAGUUCACAGCAACUCAGCGGUGCUCACCUACGGUGGGCAGACCUCUGGGAGUGCGCAAGCACCCCGGAAGCCCGUUCAAAGCCCCACACCAUUCUUGGCGCCGCCGAAGUCUCCGUCGGCCACGACGGCCACUCCCCAGCACAUUGGAGGCUUCAGCGCUGCAGACACUAUGCUUGAAGGCUCGCAGACACCUGGCAGCUUCGGGCUCGUAGGGGGCAGCAGCGGCUCACACCCAGUCCAGGCUAUGGGCAGCGGUUCAACAGAACUUAACGGCUUUGCUGGCGGCGACUACGCUGGCGGCUUCCCGAUAUCCUCGUACGAGACGCAGGAGUUUUACACGAUGCUGCAACGGUGCAGUAGCAACCUCGCCGCCGCCAGCGGCGCCACUGCAAAGUCGCCGCCAUCGAGGCAGCCUUCCGCACCAGUGCCAGGCGCCGGUGCCGCCCCACACUCGGGCAGCGGCAGCAAUCAUAGUAAGAGUAGAGCCAACGCCGGUGGGUUGUCCUUCCGCGUUUCGGGCUCCCACACCGACGCCGCGCGGAGCGAUGGAGUGGCCAGCUCACCUCUGCCGCAGUCAGCGCAGCCCUCUUCCACAGCACCGCUCAGCAGCUCAUCUUUUCAGCAGUCUCAGCCAAAGACCUUGGUGCUUCCGCAGCCUCGCUCCGGCGCGGUACAGCAGGCGCAACAACAGCGACCUGUACCAGCAGAAUCUGAAGGUGGCAGCAUUUUGAGUGGCGGUCACGCCCCAGCGCCAUAUCGACUCAUCCCACAGCCACGCAGCAACACGAGCACCAACCCCUCCGUGCCCCUCAGCCGGUCAGCCGCUGCUGCUGCCGCUGCUGCUGCCGCCGCCGCUGCUGUUCCUUCAUCCUCUGCCUCUCGGCGCGCCAACACACUGCCGCCAGACGCCUGCCCGCCUUCGUGCGCAUCGACUCCGCAGAAGCAUCUCCCGCGGGGGUUGCCGCCAAGCACCAGCGCAUCCUUCACCGCUGGCAGCGGCGCCCAUUCCAGAAGCAACGGCUCAUUUGCCCGCCGUGUUGCCCCAGAGGCAGAGGCUGGUGCGAUUAGUGGUGCGUCGAACCUGCGUCAUGGCCCACGUGCUACUUCCUCCUCCAUGCACGCCAUUCGCGGCGGGACCAGUGGUGGCGGGGGCGGCAGCAGCGGCGCGAACAGCGCUGGCGCCGCCACUGGCACGUUGGCAGCCCCUCUCAACUCGGAGCUUGCAGCCUCAUUUGCGAGCAACAACACCAACGGCUUCCAACCCUACCAAGUCACCGGCACCCUUGGUACCGGCUCUGCAGCGAGCUGCAGCGGGCACGGCACAAUCGACACGCGCUGCAGCUCGACGAUGAAGUACACUGCUGCUCCCCCAGCGCAGCCGACUGGUCUGCCGCUGCCACCAGGCCGCUCCCCCGCGCCGCAGUCGCCGUCGCGGCGCUUCUCUUAUGAGCUGACGCAGUCCGUCACGGCAGCCUUAGGGCCGCCAACGUUCACGACAGCGCCGUUGAUGGCAGCGGCGGCCAAGAUGAUAUCAACAGACGACGGUGCGUUGACUUCUGACGAUAUGAAUACCUUUGACUAUGGCGCUCACGCGUCGGAUGACGUGUACGCAGCCAAGUCUCACUACAGUACCUCAUGUGCGGCGAAGGUGAUGCGUGCGGUAGGCGGCGUCAACCCGCCGCUGUGUGGUGCAGCCAGUGGCACCAGCAGCAGCGAGAACGUGAAUGCAAAUAUCAAGAAACAGAGCGGCACUAGCGCGAUGCGGGCCCAACUAAGCAGCCCUGCUCCUGCCGCGACCGCGUCUUCCGGCGCGGCCGCCUCGACUCUUCGCAGAAGUGGCCAGCUCGGCGACGCGAGUCCUUGCUCCCUCUCGCUUGGCGGUGCCGGUCUCCUUGACGACCACCUGCUUUUCCAGUGGGAAAGUAACUCGGCCGCAAUGAAUGUCGCUCCCGGUAUAAACGACCUCGCAAGCAUAGCCGUAGCAGCGGCCCCGACAGUGCUGCCGUUUAGUGAUGCUCGGCGCAGCAAGGAAACCGCAGCGGUGCUUGAUAUGAUGUCCAUGCUGUCGGAGUCGCGCACGCCAGACCUGAUUGCGCUCGCAGAUGCGCCGACGGCCGGGUCUGUGUCACACAUGAGGUCGCAGCCCGACGCUGGCGACUACUGGAGUGCCGCGCAGAUGCGAGAUACGGAAAAGCUGGGUUUGGGCGCCGUGGGCGGCGGCGAUAUGGGAGUGACAGCCCACCAAGGGUCGUCUACGGCGACGUCGACAUCGAAGGCGCUGAGCCGCUGCAGCACUGGCCGGACAUUGCCCGGCACGACUGCGCAGCCGCCUUCGCGAAUUGGCCGCUCUGACGACGAGGACGACGGGCAGACAGGGUGGAUGAUGUACCCGGACAUCGACCUGAACCUCGGCUGGCCCCUCGGUUCCACCAUGAAGUCAAAGAAGGGCGGUGGGGUGGUUGGCAGCAGCCUCAACAGCAGCAGCAGCCGCGAAGAUGUUGACCACCUUGGCUACUCGCAGCAGCUCGGCCACGCGAUGGACAACCUGUACAAUCUCAUGAGCUACGACGACGCCUCUUAUUAAGUGCGAUAUGGCAGCACAUCCGCAUGGCAAACAGCGUGCACCCCCAGCUUCUAGCCCCCCCCCCACCCGGCAUCACGAAUGCAAGAAAACAGAUGAGAAAAAACAAGCCACGGCUACGCAUCUGCGCGCAGCCGGUGAUUGACACACAAAGGCAUCAAGAGCU
rnacentral:misc_RNA from 1 species